rnacentral:rRNA from 1 species
GAUGAACGCUGGCGGCGGGCCUAAUACAUGCAAGUCGAGCGAACAGACGAGGAGCUUGCUCCUCUGACGUUAGCGGCGGACGGGUGAGUAACACGUGGAUAACCUACCUAUAAGACUGGGAUAACUUCGGGAAACCGGAUCUAAUACCGGAUAAUAUAUUGAACCGCAUGGUUCAAUAGUGAAAGACGGUUUUGCUGUCACUUAUAGAUGUAUCCGCGCCGCAUUAGCUAGUUGGUAAGGUAACGGCUUACCAAGGCAACGAUGCGUAGCCGACCUGAGAGGGUGAUCGGCCACACUGGAACUGAGACACGGUCCAGACUCCUACGGGAGGCAGCAGUAGGGAAUAUUCCGCAAUGGGCGAAAGCCUGACGGAGCAACGCCGCGUGAGUGAUGAAGGUCUUCGGAUCGUAAAACUCUGUUAUUAGGGAAGAACAAAUGUGUAAGUAAAUAUGCACGUCUUGACGGUACCUAAUCAGAAAGCCACGGCUAACUACGUG